rnacentral:rRNA from 1 species
CCUACGGGAGGCAGCAGUGGGGAAUAUUGCACAAUGGGGGGAACCCUGAUGCAGCGACGCCGCGUGGGUGAAGGAGUAUUUCGGUAUGUAAAGCCCUAUCAGCAGGGAAGAACAAUGACGGUACCUGACUAAGAAGCACCGGCUAAAUACGUGCCAGCAGCCGCGGUAAUACGUAUGGUGCAAGCGUUAUCCGGAUUUACUGGGGGGAAAGGGAGCGCAGGCGGCGCGUUAAGCCUGGUGUGAAAGCCCGCGGCCCAACCGCGGGACUGCAUUGGGGACUGGCGCGCUGGAGUGCCGGAGGGGUAAGCGGAAUUCCUAGGGUAGGGGUGAAAUGCGUAGAUAUUAGGAGGAACACCAGUGGCGAAGGCGGCCUACUGGACGGUGACUGACGCUGAGGCUCGAAAGCGUGGGGAGCGAACAGGAUUAGAUACCCUUGUAGUC